rnacentral:rRNA from 1 species
GGGAUAACUCCGCGAAAGCGAAGCUAAUACCGAAUACGGUACCUCAGGGCAUCCUGAGGCAACCAAAGGUGGGGACCCUUCGGGGCCUGCCGCUUGUGGAGGGGCUCACGUCCCAUCAGCUAGUUGGUAGGGUAGUGGCCUACCAAGGCAUACGGGUAGCCGACCUGAGAGGGCGAUCGGCCACACUGGGACUGAGACACUGCCCAGACUCCUACGGGAGGCUGCAGUCGAGGAUCAUUCGCAAUGCGUGAAAGCGUGACGAUGCGACGCUGCGUGGAGGAUGAAGGCCUUCGGGUUGUAAACUCCUGUCAUGAGGGAAAAGACGUCCGGCGCCGAAUAAGCGCAGGACCCGAUGGUACCUCAAGAGGAAGCCACGGCUAACUCUGUGCCAGCAGCCGCGGUAAUACAGAGGUGGCAAGCGUUGUUCGGAUUUACUGGGCGUAAAGGGUGCGUAGGCUGUCGCUUAUGUCGGAUGUGAAAUCCCGGGGCUCAACCCCGGAACUGCAUUCGAAACUGAGGGACUUGAGGCUAGGAUGGGAGAGCGGAAUUCUUGGUGUAGCGGUGAAAUGCGUUGAGAUCAAGAAGAACACCGGUGGCGAAGGCGGCUCUCUGGAAUAGUCCUGACGCUGAGGCACGAAAGCUGGGGGAGCAAACAGGAUUAGAUACCCUGGUAGUCCCAGCCGUAAACGGUGCGCACUUGGUGUUGGCGGUAUUGACCCCGCCAGUGCCGGAGCUAACGCGUUAAGUGCGCCGCCUGGGGAGUACGGUCGCAAGAUUAAAACUCAAAGAAAUUGACGGGGGCCCGCACAAGCGGAGGAGCAUGUGGCUUAAUUCGAUGCAACGCGAAGAACCUUACCUGGGCUUGACAUCGGGGAGGCUUGCCUCCAGGGCGUGGAAGCGCCCGAACCAGACAGGUGCUGCAUGGCUGUCGUCAGUUCGUGCCGUGAGGUGUUGGGUUAAGUCCCGCAACGAACGCAACCCCUGUGUCUAGUUGCUAACGCCGCGCAAGCGGUGUGCACUCUAAACAGACUGCCCGUACAAGCGGGAGGAAGGUGGGGAUGACGUCAAGUCAGUAUGGCCCUUACGCCCAGGGCUGCACACGUGCUACAAUGGCCGGUACAGAGGGACGCUAGACCGCGAGGUGGAGCCAAUCCCAUAAAACCGGCCCCAGUUCGGAUUGCAGUCUGCAACUCGACUGCAUGAAGUUGGAUUCGCUAGUAACGGCGCAUCAGCUACGGCGCCGUGAAUACGUUCCCGGGCCUUGUACACACCGCCCGUCACAUCAUGAAAGCCGUCUGCACCCGAAGUCACUGAGCCAAUCCCUCACGGGAAGGCAGGUGCCGAAGGUGUGGGUGGUGAUUGGAAUGAAGUCGUAACAAGGUA